rnacentral:rRNA from 1 species
UACGGAGGGUGCAAGCGUUAUCCGGAUUCACUGGGUUUAAAGGGUGCGUAGGAGGGCAGGUAAGUCAGUGGUGAAAUCUCCGAGCUUAACUUGGAAGCUGCCGUUGAUACUAUCUGUCUUGAAUAUUGUGGAGGUGAGCGGAAUAUGUCAUGUAGCGGUGAAAUGCUUAGAUAUGACAUAGAACACCAAUUGCGAAGGCAGCUCGCUACACAUAUAUUGACUCUGAGGCACGAAAGCGUGGGGAUCAAACAGG